CUACGGGCGGCUGCAGUGGGGAAUAUUGCACAAUGGAGGAAACUCUGAUGCAGCAACGCCGCGUGGAGGAUGACACUUUUCGGAGCGUAAACUCCUUUUAUAUAGGAAGAAGAUGACGGUACUAUAUGAAUAAGCGCCGGCUAACUCCGUGCCAGCAGCCGCGGUAAUACGGAGGGCGCAAGCGUUACUCGGAAUCACUGGGCGUAAAGAGCGUGUAGGCGGAUUAAAAAGUCAGAAGUGAAAUCCUAUAGCUUAACUAUAGAGCUGCUUCUGAAACUCUUAAUCUAGAAUAUGGGAGAGGUAGAUGGAAUUUCUGGUGUAGGGGUAAAAUCCGUAGAGAUCAGAAGGAAUACCGAUUGCGAAGGCGAUCUACUAGAACAUUAUUGACGCCGAGACGCGAAAGCGUGGGGAGCAAACAGGAUUAGAUACCCCGGUAGUC
rnacentral:rRNA from 1 species